UGAAAUCUAGUUUAGAACGCAACACACUCAUUAUAAUAUACUUUAUAUAUUACUAUAUUGGUUAUACCCUUUGUGAGCCCUGAAUACGAUGUUUACAUAUGAUAUUUUCAAAAGUGUCCAGCCGAUGAUAUGAUAGAGGUCCAUAAGACCAUAACAAUCAAAACCAAGGAGUAAACAAACAUUCACAAACCAAAGGACAUUUACAUCAACAGUUAUAAAUAAUAAUUACGAAACAACAUAAAAUAAAAUACUGGACACUGCUAUUUUCAACACAAGCUUUUUCUCUAAGUUUUAUUGUGGAUUUAACGUUCGCGGCAAAAUGUGACAGAACAAAGUAAAGCAUGCAGCACAUAGAAACUCUAGCUAGGAUGAUCUGAUAGGGGCGAUCCGGCUCAGAUCAACCCUGGUAGAACAAAGGAGAUGGGAUGCAAGGUAAAAAAUAGUACAGUACAGCGUAAACAUUAAGUUGAUUUUUUUGAAAAAUACAAGUAAAAUAUAUUAUAUUAAAGUGUGAACGUUAGAUCAUUUGAAUAAUACACGUAAAAUAUAAUACAAGCACGUGUGAACUGUGAGUUGAUACUGUAAAUAGUGAACAUUUAAUAAGUUAUCAUUCAAAAAUAAAAUAAGUCAAAUAUGAUACAGAAAAAUGUGAACAUUUAGUUGAUCAUUUGGAAAAAUACAAACAGUAAAAUGCAUUGCAGUGAAGUGUGAAUAGUAGUGUGAUCAGUUUUAAAAUUGAUCAUUUGGAUAUUACAAGUAAAAUGUAA
rnacentral:lncRNA from 1 species